AUAAGCUGUACAGACACAGGCACUGUGAUGCAGGAGGAGCAGCAGUCACAAAGGCAACUUGUCCUGACAGAGCUCCACUGAAAGGUGCUGUGUUUGCCCACAGGAUGCAGGCCUGGCUCUAGUGGAGUCAGUGUGUCCUUUAAAAGGAGAUGGAUUUUGCAACACUUUUAAUAGUAAGUAAUUGUUUCUUAUUGCUCCUCUUGUAUUAAAAAAGAAAAAUAAUUAUCAACAUGUUAGAGGCAAACAGGGACAAAGUCUCUACCCGGUGAGUGAUCCAGCAGCUUGAUUCAGUACUUUUUGAAGCAGCCGAGAGUAUUUGUACUGUCAGACUCAUUAAAAGGAGGGACGGUAAACAGCCUUUGUUUUUAUUUUUAUAGGAAAUUUACUCAUCGUUUCUGCUGAGCCUUUGGCUGAGACUCCUAUUUUUCUAAGAAAUGAGUGAUUGGAUCCUGGCAGUGCUUUAAGUCAUUUAAAGAGACAACUGGAAACAGGCUGUUCCCUGGGGGGCAGGUACCAGGCAGCUCCCAGGCAGUGGCACAUGGACACAAGGGCUGUUUGCAAAGUAUAACAGCUCUGAAGAUGAGACUUGAUGGACAGUAAGAAAUCAGGAUCGCUUCACUUUUC
rnacentral:lncRNA from 12 species